AGGACGAACGCUGGCGGCGUGCUUAACACAUGCAAGUCGAGCGAGGCUCCUCCUUCGGGAGGAAGCCCUAGCGGCGAACGGGUGAGUAACACGUGGGCAACCUGCCCCUAGCACUGGGAUAACCCCGGGAAACCGGGGCUAAUACCGGAUACGACUUCGGAAGGCAUCUUCUGAAGUGGAAAAGGUUACUGGCUAGGGAUGGGCCCGCGGCCUAUCAGCUUGUUGGUGGGGUAAUGGCCCACCAAGGCGACGACGGGUAGCCGGCCUGAGAGGGCGACCGGCCACACUGGGACUGAGACACGGCCCAGACUCCUACGGGAGGCAGCAGUGGGGAAUAUUGCACAAUGGGCGAAAGCCUGAUGCAGCGACGCCGCGUGAGGGAUGACGGCCUUCGGGUUGUAAACCUCUUUCAGCAGGGACGAAGCGAAAGUGACGGUACCUGCAGAGAAGCACCGGCCAACUACGUGCCAGCAGCCGC
rnacentral:rRNA from 1 species